CAUUCCCUGCGAUAGUGACGACUCUGGUAAACUCCACUAUCCACAGGCGACAGAACCUGGAAGCCUCCUCUCCUGUUCCCCUUUAAACCCCCUCCUCCAGGUGUUUUUGAAAUGCCUUUUCCCAAUUGCCCAUCUUAGCAAGCACACCUAGCAGCUCACCCUUGAUAUGUGCAACUGCCCAAACAACUGCGCUGGCUCCAUGCACUAGACUUGCUCCUGCUUUGAGUAGAUGGGAGAUAUUGGAUCUCCUGGGCCUGUGGGGCAAAAAGGCUAUGCAAGCACUGCUGUGGACCAGUCCUAGAAAUGUGGACCUCUAUGAGCAGAUUGCAUGGGGGAUGCAGGUAAAGGGGUACAACAGGGAUCGGCAGCAGAGCUGUCUGAAAGCAAACGAACUUCUCCAGGAAUACCACAAGGCCAGGAAGCGCAACAAUAGAGCUGGUGCUUCAUCACAGAUCUACCACUUCUACAAGUAACUGCAUACCAUACUUGGCGGAGACCCCACCAGAACCCUGCAGACCACUGUGGAUUCCUUAGAGGAACCCAAGACAGAGACCCCUGCCAUGAACAAUGAGGAGAAGGAGGUGAAGAGAAGUGGUGGGGGAAAACAAGCCAUGGUGCGAGCCAGGACCUGUUUGAGACUGCACCGCAGUUUAGUUGGUCCUGCCUGGAGAGCAUGGAUGAGCCUGGUGAAAGGGAAGGGGACUCGACAGGACACUUCCCCACCCUGCUCCGUGAUGACUCUGGCUGGCAUCAUUGCAGUAAAAAGGCUUGUGGCAUGUGGCCCAAGCUUCUGAUGCUUCGGCCUUGAGGGCUGGCCCCUCAUGCCAGCAGAACACCUGACCCUGAAGAGGAGGAGAAAGAAGAGGGUGAGGGAGGACAUGUUCUACAAGAUCCUGUAAGCCAGUGCUGCAUCAGACUGUGAACAAAGGAGUUGGAGAGUCCAUAUGACUGGCUACCUGGAGAAGGAUAGAAGACAGGAAAAAAGUCCCAGGCGUCCCAACUGGACUAGGAAAGGGAAAUGCACAAUACAUAAUGGGUCUUUUCAGACAGGAAAUGCAAAUGCUGCAGCUCCUGGUUGCCCUAUAGGUUGAGAAAUUCCAGACUCUUCAUCCCUUGCAGUCCUUGGAGAACUCCAUAGCCAUUGAUUCCUGCAUCCCCCAACAUACCAUAUCAGUCCACGCUGGGGCAUAGCAAGGAAAACCACAGCUUCAUAUCCACUGACCUGUGAGAACCAUGGUUGCUCUAUAUUUAGCCGCAAUGGACUACAUUUGUGCACUAAGAUGGACAUAAAUGUCUAUUUCCUUUCUGAUUUUAAAUUUUCACCCCCCUUGUGUUUAAAAAAAAAAUUGUAGAACAUUGCCGGUGGUAUUUUUUGCGCAUUACUUUCCUGCACUGUUUUUUUCCCCCACUAAAUAAAAUUUUGUU